CCUACGGGAGGCAGCAGUGGGGGAUAUUGCACAAUGGGGGGAACCCUGAUGCAGCGACGCCGCGUGGGUGAAGGAGUGCUUCGGCAUGUAAAGCCCUAUCGGCAGGGAAGAAGCAAGACGGUACCUGACUAAGAAGCCCCGGCUAACUACGUGCAAGCAGCCGCGGUAAUACGUAGGGGGCGAGCGUUAGCCGGAUUCACUGGGUGUAAAGGGAGCGUAGACGGCCAUGCAAGUCAGGGGUGAAAGCCCGGGGCACAACCCCGGAACUGCCCUUGGAACUGUGCGGCUAGAGUGCGGGAGGGGCAGGUGGAAUUCCUGGUGUAGCGGUGAAAUGCGUAGAUAUCAGGAGGAACACCGGUGGCGAAGGCGGCCUGCUGGACCGCGACUGACGUUGAGGCUCGAAAGCGUGGGGAGCGAACAGGAUUAGAUACCCCAGUAGUC
rnacentral:rRNA from 1 species